CUAAUACAUGCAAGUCGAACGCUUUGUCUUUAAUUGAUMUGACGAGCUUGCUCUGAUGUGAUUUUAUCUGACAAAGAGUGGCGAACGGGUGAGUAACACGUGGGUAACCUACCUCUUAGCAGGGGAUAACAUUUGGAAACAAGUGCUAAUACCGUAUAAUACCAACAACCGCAUGGUUGUUGGUUGAAAGAUGGUUCUGCUAUCACUAAGAGAUGGACCCGCGGUGCAUUAGCUAGUUGGUAAGGUAACGGCUUACCAAGGCAAUGAUGCAUAGCCGAGUUGAGAGACUGAUCGGCCACAAUGGGACUGAGACACGGCCCAUACUCCUACGGGAGGCAGCAGUAGGGAAUCUUCCACAAUGGGCGCAAGCCUGAUGGAGCAACGCCGCGUGUGUGAUGAAGGGUUUCGGCUCGUAAAACACUGUUAUAAGAGAAGAACGGCACUGAGAGUAACUGUUCAGUGUGUGACGGUAUCUUACCAGAAAGGAACGGCUAAAUACGUGCCAGCAGCCGCGGUAAUACGUAUGUUCCAAGCGUUAUCCGGAUUUAUUGGGCGUAAAGCGAGCGCAGACGGUUAUUUAAGUCUGAAGUGAAAGCCCUCAGCUCAACUGAGGAAUGGCUUUGGAAACUGGAUGACUUGAGUGCAGUAGAGGAAAGUGGAACUCCAUGUGUAGCGGUGAAAUGCGUAGAUAUAUGGAAGAACACCAGUGGCGAAGGCGGCUUUCUGGACUGUAACUGACGUUGAGGCUCGAAAGUGUGGGUAGCAAACA
rnacentral:rRNA from 1 species